UUUUGUAACAUGAUGGGAUGUAAAAAAAGGGGUCAGCUAGUCCCUUUUGCAAUAAGAUGGGAUGUAAAAAAAGAGGUCAGCUAGUCCCUUUUGUAACAAGAUGGUAUGUAAAAGCAGAGGUCAGCUAGUCCCUUUUGCAAUAAGAUGGGAUGUAAAAAAAGAGGUCAGCUAGUCCCUUUUGCAAUAAGAUGGGAUGUAAAAAAAAGAGGUCAGCUAGUCCCUUUUGCAAUAAGAUGGGAUGUAAAAAAAGAGGUCAGCUAGUCCCUUUUGUAACAAGAUGGUAUGUAAAAGCAGAGGUCAGCUAGUCCCUUUUGCAAUAAGAUGGUAUGUAAAAGCAGAGGUCAGCUAGUUCCUUUUGCAAUAAGAUGGGAUGUAAAAAAAGAGGUCAGCUAGUCCCUUUUGCAAUAAGAUGGGAUGUAAAAAAAGAGGUCAGCUAGUCCCUUUUGCAAUAAGAUGGGAUGUAAAAAAAGAGGUCAGCUAGUCCCUUUUGCAAUAAGAUGGGAUGUAAAAAAAGAGGUCAGCUAGUCCCUUUUGUAACAAGAUGGGAUGUAAAAACAGAGGUCAGCUAGUCCCUUUUGCAAUAAGAUGGGAUGUAAAAAAAGAGGUCAGCUAGUCCCUUUUGCAAUAAGAUGGGAUGUAAAAAAAAAGGUCAGCUAGUCCCUUUUGCAAUAAGAUGGGAUGUAAAAAAAGAGGUCAGCUAGUCCCUUAUGUAACAAGAUGGGAUGUAAAAAAAGGGGUCAGCUAGUCCCUUUUGCAAUAAGAUGGGAUGUAAAAAAGAGGUCAGCUAGUCCCUUUUGCAAUAAGAUGGGAUGUAAAAAAAGAUGUUAGCUAGUCCCUUGUGUAAUAAGAUGGGAUGUAAAAAAAAGAGGUCAGCUAGUCCCUUUUGUAACAAGAUGGGAUGUAAAAAAAGAGGUCAGCUAGUCCCUUUUCUAAUAAGAUGGGAUGUAAAAAAGGGGUCAGCUAGCCCCUUUUGCAACAAGAUGGGAUGUAAAAAAAGAGGUCAGCUAGUCCCUUUUGUAACAAGAUGGGAUGUAAAAAAAGAGGUCAGCUAGUCCCUUUUGUAACAAGAUGGGAUGUAAAAAAAGGGGUCAGCUAGUCCCUUUUGUAACAAGAUGGGAUGUAAAAAAAGAGGUCAGGUAGUCCCUUUUGCGAUAAGAUGGGAUGUAAAAAAGAGGUCAGCUAGUCCUUUUGUAACAAGAUGGGAUGUAAAAAAAGAGGUCAGCUAGUCCCUUUUGUAACAAGAUGGGAUGUAAAAAAAGAGGUCAGCUAGUCCCUUUUGUAACAAGAUGGGAUGUAAAAAAAGAGGUCAGCUAGUCCCUUUUGUAACAAGAUGGGAUGUAAAAAAAGAGGUCAGCUAGUCCCUUUUGCAAUAAGAUGGGAUGUAAAAAAGAGGUCAGCUAGUCUCUUUUGUAACAAGAUGGGAUGUAAAAAAAGAGGUCAGCUAGUCCCUUUUGUAAUAAGAUGGGAUGUAAAAAAGGGGUCAGCUAGUCCCUUUUGUAAUAAGAUGGGAUGUAAAAAAAGAGGUUAGCUAGUCCCUUUUGUAACAAGAUGGGAUGUAAAAAAAGAGGUCAGCUAGUCCCUUUUGUAACAAGAUGGGAUGUAAAAAAAGAGGUCAGCUAGUCCCUUUUGUAACAAGAGGGGAUGUAAAAAAAGGGGUCAGCUAGCCCCUUUUGCAACAAGAUGGGAUGUAAAAAAAGAGGUCAGCUAGUCCCUUUUGUAACAAGAUGGGAUGUAAAAAAAGAGGUCAGCUAGUCCCUUUUGUAACAAGAUGGCAUGUAAAAAAAGGGGUCAGCUAGCCCCUUUUGCAACAAGAUGGGAUGUAAAAAAGAGGUCAGCUAGUCCCUUUUGUAACAAGAUGGGAUGUAAAAAAAGGGGUCAGCUAGUCUCUUUUGUAACAAGAUGGGAUGUAAAAAAAGGGGUCAGCUAGCCCUUUUGUAAUAAGAUGGGAUGUAAAAAAAGAGGUCAGCUAGUCCCUUUUGUAACAAGAUGGGAUGUAAAAAAAGGGGUCAGCUAGUCCCUUUUGCAAUAAGAUGGGAUGUAAAAAAAGAGGUCAGCUAGUCCCUUUUGUAACAAGAUGGGAUGUAAAAAAAGAGGUCAGCUAGUCCCUUUUGUAA